UAAGAUCCCUGAAAGAUGAUCAGGUUGAUAGGUCAGAGGUGGAAGCGUGGCGACAUGUGGAGCUGACUGAUACUAAUCGAUCGAGGACUUAACCAA
rnacentral:rRNA from 1 species